rnacentral:rRNA from 1 species
CGGGUCUAGCGGCGGACGGGUUAGUAACGCGUGGGAACGUGCCCUUUACUACGGAAUAGUCCCGGGAAACUGGGUUUAAUACCGUAUACGCCCUUCGGGGGAAAGAUUUAUCGGUAAAGGAUCGGCCCGCGUUAGAUUAGAUAGUUGGUGGGGUAAUGGCCUACCAAGUCUACGAUCUAUAGCUGGUUUGAGAGGAUGAUCAGCAACACUGGGACUGAGACACGGCCCAGACUCCUACGGGAGGCAGCAGUGGGGAAUCUUGGACAAUGGGCGCAAGCCUGAUCCAGCCAUGCCGCGUGAGUGACGAAGGCCUUAGGGUCGUAAAGCUCUUUCGCCAGGGAUGAUAAUGACAGUACCUGGUAAAGAAACCCCGGCUAACUCCGUGCCAGCAGCCGCGGUAAUACGGAGGGGGUUAGCGUUGUUCGGAAUUACUGGGCGUAAAGCGCACGUAGGCGGACUGGAAAGUUGGGGGUGAAAUCCCGGGGCUCAACCUCGGAACUGCCUCCAAAACUACUAGUCUAGAGUUCGAGAGAGGUGAGUGGAAUUCCGAGUGUAGAGGUGAAAUUCGUAGAUAUUCGGAGGAACACCAGUGGCGAAGGCGGCUCACUGGCUCGAUACUGACGCUGAGGUGC